AGUGCCUUGUGAAAGAGCUCAGGGUUGAAGGGAUCACUCUUUUGCACUUCUGCCAUAUGAGGACACAGCAUUUGUCCCAUUUUCUUUGCCCUUCCAUCCUUUCUGCCAUGUGGGGACACAGCAGGAAGGCCCUAACCAGAUAUGAAACCUGCCAGCGCCUUGAUCUUGGACUUCCUAGCCUCCAUGACUACAAGAAAUGAAUUUCUGUUUCUUAUGAAUUACCCAGCCUGUGAUAUUGUGUUAAAGCAGCAUAGAUGAACUAAGACAGUGGGCCUCCUGCAGAGCCCAUACCCUUGCUGCCCUCUCCCACACUCCUGCUUCCUUGACUAUCCAAUAGAUGUCUCUGCAGGAAUCUCCAUCUCAGUCUCUGCUGUUAGGGAGGCCAACCUAAGACGCAUUGCCUUGUCCACUUUAUGCACCUCUAGCCUCCCUAUAAAACUUUCCCUGGAGAUGUAAGACUGGCUAGUACAGACAACAUGGUCCUCAAAGAGGAAGCACCUGGAACCAGGUGGGUCCCUGCAGUCUGGUAGGUAUGGAGGGAGUGCCACAGAGUGGGCAUAUAUUGAAGCCAAUCUACCAGCGCCCAGAGCGGAGGAUACCAGCGUGUGGCCUUCCCUGGGACACUCAGGCAUACACCACCACUCCUUGGUGAGCUGGCUCUCCUGAUGGCAAUACUCACUCCUUAGCCUCCCUUCCUCACUUCUAAUGCCUAAAGAAAAGGUAGAGAGAGCCUUUGGGCUUUGGGUUCUAUAGGGGCUUGUAACAGCAGGGCCUCACUGUCUCAAGUCCCACUGCCACUGGACCCUUGAAGUUUGGGCUUCUAGAGAGGCCCAGGGAGAAGCUGGAACUUUCUUCCACCUGCCUAAGGCCCACCUCUCUCUUCCAGGGUGCUGACAGUAAACGUGUAUGCUUGCCCACCGCCACUUCCAGGGGGCAUCCUGCAAGUUUCCUACAAGGACAUGGCUUUACUCUGUGACUGCCACAGGUCCACUCCUCCAGAUGUACAUAGGAAAGCCCAAAAUUCAUCUCAGAGAUGAACACUUACACUUUUUCCCAUCUUUGUUCCUGCAGUAGAUGGUAAACUCCAGGAAGGCAGGAAUCAUGUCUUGCUACCUUAGUAUCUCCCAGGGUAACAAGAACAUAAUUUAUUUUUCUGAAUUGAAAGAGUUCUUACAGAAAUGUUAUACAAUUUCCUAGGGUAGAGUCUUGUGCUCAAUCUUAUUAAAUAAGUGAAGGUACAUUUUCUUUUGUCAAAGCAUAUUAAAAUGGCUUUUUAGAGUUGAUUUAUAUUUGUUUGUAUAUUUUAGGGCAGGGAGGCCUAUAGGUAUUCUCAAACUCUAUUAAAUGAGAAGACACCUUUGGAUGCUCUCUCUUAUCACUCCUAUUCAAUACAGUAUUAGAAGCCCUGGCCAGAGCAAUCAGACAAGCGAAAGAAAUAUAGGCAUCCAAAUAGGAAGAGAGGAAGUCAAAUUACCCCUGUUUGCAGAUGACAUGAUUCUAUAUAUAAAAAAUUCCAUGGUCUUGACCCAAAAGCUCCUUAAGCUGAUAAACAACUUCAGCAAAGUCUCAGAAUUAAAAAAAAAAAAAAAAAAGCACAAAAAUUACUGCCAUUCCUAUACACCAACAAUAGUCAAGCCAAAAGCCAAAUCAGGAACACAAUUCCAUUCAUAAUUUCCACAGAAAGAAUAAAAAACCUAGGAAUACAGCUAAUCAAGGAGGUGAAAGAUUUCUUAACGAUAGCUACAAAAUACUGCUCAAAGGAAUCAAAGAGGACUCAAACAAAAGGAAAAACAUUCCAUGGUCAUAGAUAGGAAGAAUCAAUUUUAUUACAAUAGCCAUCCUAUCCAAAGGAAUUUAUAGAUUUAAUGUUAUUCUUUUUAAAACACCAUUGAGAUUAUUUCCAUAACUGGAAAAAAAACGAUUUAAAAAUUUGUAUGCAACCAAAAAAGAGCUUAAAUAGCCAAGGCAGUCCUAAGCAAAGGACCAAACCUAAAGACAUCAUGUUACCUGACUUCAAACUAUACUACAGGGCUAUAGUAACCCAAACAGCAUGGUACUGGGAUGAAAACAGACACAUAGACUAAUAGAACAUAAUAGAGAGCCCAGAACUAUGGCCACACACCUACAACUAUCUGAUAUUUGACAAACCUGACAAAAACAAGCAACAGUGAAAGCACUCCUUGUUCAAUAAAUGGUGCUGGGAUAGCUGGCUAGCCAUAUGUGGAAGAUUGAAAUUGGACCUAUUCCUUAUACCAUAUACAAAAAUUAACUUAAGAUGGAUUAAAGACUGAAAUGUAAAACCCGAAUCUAUAAAAACCAUGGAAGACAACCUAGGCAAUACCAUACUGGACAUAGAAAUAGGCAAAGAUUUCAUAAUAAAGACACCAAAAGCAAUUGCAACAAAAGCAAAAAUUGGGAUCUAACUUUCUCCAAAAUUUUGUCUAAAAAUUAGACAAAUGGAUGGGAUCUAAUUAAACUGGAGAGCUUCUGCACAGCACAAGAAACUAUAAAAAGAGUAAACAGAAAACCUACAGAAUGGGAGCAAAUUUUUGCACACUAUGCAUCUGACAAAGGUCUAAUAUCCAGCAUGUAUAGGGAACUUAAACAAAUGUACAAGGAGAAAACGACUCUAUUGAAGAGUGGGCAAAGAACAUGAACUGACACUUCACAAAAGAAGAUACAUGCAGCCAACAAGCAUAUGAAUAAAAGCUCAAUGUCACCUAUCAUUAGAGAAAUGCAAGUCAAAACCAUAAUGUGAUAUCAUCUCAUGCCAUGUCAGCAAAUGCAAAGCAGAGGUGUGAAUGGUACAUACACAUUUCCACUUGAUCUCUUGCACAAUUGGGCUUGCUCACUCUUGCACCUCUACCUUGCCAUGAUAACACACCUGGCCAACAUCAUUGAAUGAUUCAAGAGACACGUGGAGAAGAGCCAAGGCCAUCUUAGAACAGGCUGACAGACCAGCUGAUCCCCUAAAGCGUGAGUGAACCUAUCCAAGGUCACUUGAGCCCGGGCUUCUUCAGUAGAACUGCCCAGCUGACCCAUGGAUUGGUGAGAAAUAAAAAAUGGUUGUUUUCAGGA